rnacentral:rRNA from 1 species
AUUAGUGGCGAACGGGUGAGUAACACGUGAGUAACCUGCCUUACACAAGGGGAUAGCCUUUGGAAACGAAGAAUAAUACCCUAUAAAGUUAGUCAAUCGCAUGGUAGACUAACCAAAGAUUUAUCGGUGUAAGAUGGACUUGCGUCUGAUUAGCUAGUUGGUGAGAUAAAAGCCCACCAAGGCGACGAUCAGUAGCCGGCUUGAGAGAGUGUACGGCCACAUUGGGACUGAGACACGGCCCAAACUCCUACGGGAGGCAGCAUG